AACGGCCAUAUCACGGGGAAACACCGGUCCUCGUACGAUCACCGAAGUUAAGCAACGUCGAGUCUGGUCAGUAGCUAGAUGGAUGACUGCCUGGGAAUAUCGGGCCCUGU